GUCUGAAUUCUUCUCCCAUUUUAUCCUGUUCCUUAUCAUUCUACACUGCAUCCUUUUUGUCCUCAAGUGGAAAGGCCAAAGUCAGGAAGUUGAAUUAAUUGUACAAGUGAUAACAAGUGUUAUUGUCACUAUCUUCUUG